CCCUUAGACGUUCUGGGCCGCACGCGCGCUACACUGACCAGUGCAACAAGCAUCCGUCCUUGGCCGACAGGCUCGGGCAAUCUUUGAACGCUGGUCGUGAUGGGGAUAGACUUUUGCAAUUUUUGGUCUUCAACGAGGAAUUCCUAGUAAACGCAAGUCAUCAACUUGCAUUGAUUACGUCCCUGCCCUUUGUACACACCGCCCGUCGCACCUACCGAUUGAAUGGUCCGGUGAAAUCUCCGGACUGGCGUGAGUCGGAGCAAUCUGACAAACACCGGAAAGUUGAUUAAACCUUACCAUUUAGAGGAAGGUGAAGUCGUAACA
rnacentral:rRNA from 1 species